rnacentral:rRNA from 1 species
UACGUAGGUGGCAAGCGUUGUCCGGAUUUACUGGGCGUAAAGAGCGCGCAGGCGGUCGUUCAAGUCGGAUGUGAAAGCCCCCGGCUCAACUGGGGAGGGUCAUUCGAUACUGAUCGACUUGAAGGCAGGAGAGGGAAGCGGAAUUCCCGGUGUAGUGGUGAAAUGCGUAGAUAUCGGGAGGAACACCAGUGGCGAAGGCGGCUUACUGGACCACGACUGACACUGAGGCACGAAAGCGUGGGUAGCAAACAGG